CUGAUACACGUUUGUCGACCCCAUUCUUGCAGUCAGAGUGGUUGUGUGAUCCAGGGGGCAAGCACCAGCCCCUCCAGUGACCAGACACUUUGCCAAACGGUGCACGUCCCUGCAGAGCUGGUGUCCUAGAGGUAUCUGUCCACUGUAUGGGCCACGGUGAAGGCGUCUGAAUCCCAGGAUGCUCUGGGAGUACCAGUCUCGUGCAUCAGUUGGCCACGGUGAAGGCAUCUGAAUCCCAGGAUGCUCUGGGAGUACCAGUCUCGUGCAUCAAAGGAAAGCUGUCCACUUCGGGACCAUUUACAGGCCAUCCAGCAUGUCCACUGCUCAGGGCCAGGGCUGCAGGUUGAGCUCUACACAGGUAACACCAGAGAAACCUGCAAAAUACAAGCUCCAGAUUUUGUGUAGUUCCUAUGGUGACCAUUUGGAUAUUUUUAUUGUGGAUUAAAGACUAUAUUCACUUUCCCAUUAUUAGUAUUUCUGUGUACUCUUAUGUCAUCUCUG
rnacentral:lncRNA from 1 species